UAUAUAUAUAUAUAUAUGUGUGUGUGUAGUUUAAUUAAGGAUCUUUCUUGAGUUUAAUGUUGAAGUUAUGGGGCACUAAAAAUAAGUAUAUAUUUAGUUCAUCAGUGUUUUUCAGUUUGCAGCGAUGCGAUCGUGUUCGUAGCUAUCGUUUUAAACGAACUAGAUUUGAUUUUUACAAAAGCAACUGUUUUGUAAAUGAAAUGAAAUAGUAUGAAGAUUAAACCAUGCACGCGCCGCGGAUUUAUUUAUUUUUUAAUUAGCUAAAUGAUUGAUCAACAAACUAAUUUAUUUAAUUAAGAUGUGCAUCUCUUUUGUAUUUGAAAUACUUUGUUAUUUUAGAGCGUCACACUACGUAAGUUCUCUGAAUCAAUGUUCUGCUCUGAUCGAUUUGAUCUAAAAUGUUUAGAAUAUUCAGAAAGUAAAUUAUGUAAUUUCUUAGAAUUAUUUAUUUAGUGAUGAAAAGGAUUCAAAAUUAAUUAUUAAUAUAUCGUUAAACUUGUAAUCAAUUACAUAGGCUGUUAAAAUUAUUAUUUUUGAAUCUUUUCGAUCAUUAGUUAAAUAAUAUAAAAAAAAACUAUAAAAUUUAUUUUUAUAAAUAUUUUAAAUAAUCUAAACCAUAUCUAGUGAAACUUAUCUUCAACUCAAAAUUUUCAUAAUUAAAAAUAAUUUAAAAGUACUUAAAGCAUCGUACUCUUUAAAGCACUUCAAUUAAACUAUAUAUAUAAAUACGAAUAAUUGCAUAUGUACUCCUCAAAAUUUCAAAAAUAUCUUAUUUAUUCUUACUUUUUUUUUUUCUUUUCAAUAUAUCCCUUAUAUAUUCCUCCGUUAUUCUAAAACACCGCUACAGUUACCACCAGUUAAAUUAACUUAGUUUAAACGUGAGUUAAAUAUAUGUUAAAAUUAAAAAAAAUAAAAUAUCUCUUUUGUCCUUAAUUUAAAAACAAAUAAGAAAUAUUGGUGAUGAUAGAGGGUAUAUUUGAAAAGACCAAAAGUCAAAAUACUUUUUGUAUCCCUAACUUAGGAGCAAAUAAAAAAAGUCGAUGAUGGUAGAAGGGUAUAUUUAAAAGGACAAAAUAGUAAUUUUAUACCGAUAACAGUUAUUAUUAAUAGUUUAUUAAUAUAAUUUAACUCUAAAAAUAAAUUUAAAUGUAAAAACUGUAUUUUCAAUAUUAAACUUCUAAGAUAUGUAAAUUAGAAAAUCGAAAAUUUUUCCUAAACUAUAUAUAUAUAUAUAUAUAUAUAUAUAUAUAUAUAUAUAGAGUCCGGCUAUGGUGAUUGUAAAAGUACCAAGUAUUUGGUGCUUGUAAAUUUUUUACCGUUAGAUCUAUGCCUUUGAUCAUUUUCAUCCGUUAGAUUAUACUAUUCAACCAACCACCCACUCAACCCUAGGGGGCCCACAUCAUCUUAACCGCACAUCCCUUAAUCNCCUCUUAUAUUAUACUGUUAUAAUUUUUGGAGGAACAUAUUUGCUGUGGUAAAAUUGAAAAUAUAAACAGUUUUCUAACGGUUCUCUAACGAUAAUAAAUCAGAAGGAUAAAUCUGAAAAUAUUAGAAGUUUUGUAAUAAUAAUUUAUAAAAGUUAAAUUUUAUAAGAAUAUAUUUAUAAUUUACUAUAUUUUCAGAGACCUAUAUAUAAUUAACCCUAUAUUUUUAAUAAGUAUGUAUAAAAAAAUCCCAAUUUAUAUAUUAAUUUAAGAGGGUGGGAUAUUAUUGUCACCGUCCUGCAAUAAUGCACAUAAGAAUUAGGGAUGUUAACGAGUCGAACUCAGAAUGGGUUUUCAAAAACUCGAACCCAAACCUGCUAAACCAAAUUUGAAUCCCAAACCCAAAUCCAACAGAUUUAAAUUAAAAUCCAUAUUCAAAUCCGAACCCAAAAAUUCGAACUCAAAACAAUUAUUUCUUUUUACCGUAUUUCAAAACAUAUUAUAUUAAAUCUAAAUUUUUAAAAUAUAAAUUCAAAUAUAAUUAGGAUUUGGGUCAAGUUCGGGUUCAAGUUGGGUACAGACUAAAUUCAUAUCCGAAUUCAACAUCAGUUGGGUUUUCUUUUUUUAUACCCGUAUCCAAAACUAUAUCUAUUUAGCCAGUGACGAAGUUAGGACUUGAUUACGAGAGGGCCAAAAUACAUAUAAAUUAAAAUUUUAGCAAGUAAAUAAAAUAUACCUAAUUAAAAUUUUGAUGAGAAAAUAUAUAACCUAAAUUGUUAGUGUAAAAAAAACAUUACCUUUUUUUUUAUUUAGACUUACUUAACUUUUAAUUAUUUUAUUUAUAUUAUUUCACUCAAAUAAUUUUAAAAUUUACUAAAUCUAAAAGUAAUUCAGUUAAUAAUUUAAUUUCUUAAUUUUUACUAAAUACAAUUGUGAUAAUUGAUUAUUAUUAGUUGACUAAGCUAUUAACUUUAAUAUAAUUUUUUUAAUUAAAUAAAAAUUUAUCUAAAAUAAUUAGAAAUUAUGAAAGUAUGUACUAAACAACAAAAAUUAAAAUAAAUUUAGAGUUGAGAAAGUAUUAUGUUCAUGCCGAGAACUUUUUUAAAAGAUAGGUCGGUCAAUAUACUUUAGAGAUUAAAGUAAAAAUAAAUCCUUGAAAUUUUUUAUAUGAAAAGGACUAUAGUGCAAAUUUUGAAAAAUCUUGGUGGGGGAGGGCAUGGCCCCCCUCAGCCCACAUAUAGCUCCGCCCCUAGCAUCAAAUAUAUUCGCUCUGUUCGGUUACGUAUUCAGAUAAAAUUUCAGAUAUCCACACACGACGACGCGUACGAUCACCGGGAGGUGACCGGAUUCGGGCUCUUCCACUAUUUAAUACCUAACAACCUGAUAAGCUAGGUGGAGUGUGUCACCCACAACUCACAAGAGAAGUGCAUAUUUUUGAGUUACUGAGAAAGGAGAGUCACACUCUUAUUAACUAUCAUCAUAUAAUUUUGGUUCUUCAUUUUCACAUAUAUUAGAGCAUGGAUCCUUACAAGGUUUGGCCUUUUACCCAAUUAUUAUUUUUUUAAUUUUUUUUUUCAUUUUAUGUUUAGAUAGGAUAUAUAAUUAUAUAUAUAUAUAUAUAUAUUAUAUAUAUAUAUAUAAAUAUAUUAUAUAUAUAUAUAUAUAUAUAUAUAUAUGUUGUGUGUGUGUUUAAUAAGGAUCUUUCUUGAGUUUAAUGUUGAAGUUAUGGGGCACUAAAAAUAAGUAUAUAUUUAGUUCAUCAGUGUUUUCAGUUUGCAGCGAUGCGAUCGUGUUCGUAGCUAUCGUUUUAAACGAACUAGAUUUGAUUUUUACAAAGCAACUGUUUUGUAAAUGAAAUGAAUAGUAUGAAGAUUAAACAUGCACGCCGCCGCGAUUUAUUUAUUUUUUAAUUAGCUAAAUGAUGAUCAACAAACUAAUUUAUUUAAUUAAGAUGUGCAUCUCUUUGUAUUGAAAUACUUUGUUAUUUUAGAGCGUUCACAUACGUAAGUUCUCUGAAUCAAUGUUCUGCCUGAUCGAUUUGAUCUAAAAUGUUUAGAAUAUUCAGAAAGUAAAUUAUGUAAUUUCUUAGAAUUAUUUAUUUAUGAUGAAAAGGAUUCAAAAUAUUAUUAAUAUAUCGUUAAACUUGUAAUCAAUUUACAUAGGCUGUUAAAAUUAUUAUUUUUGAAUCUUUUCGAUCAUUAGUUAAAUAAUAUAAAAAAAAACUAUAAAAUUUA
rnacentral:lncRNA from 1 species